GAUGAACGCUAGCGGCAGGCCUAACACAUGCAAGUCGAGGGGCAGCACAGAAACAGCAAUGUUUUGGUGGCGACCGGCGGACGGGUGCGUAACGCGUAUGCAACCUACCUUUAACAGGGGGAUAACGGAGAGAAAUUUCCACUAAUACCCCAUAACAUCGAUCAAGGCAUCUUGAUUGGUUGAAAACUCCGGUGGUUAAAGAUGGGCAUGCGUUGUAUUAGGUAGUUGGUGAGGUAAUGGCUCACCAAGCCUACGAUACAUAGGGGGACUGAGGGGUUAGCCCCCCACACUGGUACUGGGACACGGACCAGACUCCUGCGGGAGGCAGCAGUGAGGAAUAUUGGUCAAUGGGGGCGACCCUGAACCAGCCAUGCCGCGUGCAGGAAGACGGCUCUAUGAGUUGUAAACUGCUUUUAAACAGGGAUAAAGCACAGUAUGUAUACUGUGUUGAAGGUACUGUAAGAAUAAGGAUCGGCUAACUCCGUGCCAGCCGCCGCCGUAA
rnacentral:rRNA from 1 species